GUAGAAAAUAUGGAAAGUAAAAAAAACAAAAAAUUUUUUUGAAGUUAAUACUAAUAAUACUAUAAUAAUAAUAAUAUACUACUACAAUAUAUGACAAAGCUGAGAUGGAGUUUUUCUCCAAAUACAUACAUUUUUCACAAUGUGGCCCUCGCUGUAAAAAGUUUGGACACCCCUAUUGUAAGUCUUUUGAGUUCACUGUUGCCAUGGUGAUAUGGAUUGGGUUGCGGUCUUGCUUCCUUCAUUAAAAAAUGGCAUUCAAAUACAUUUUGUGAACUACCAAAUAAUGCAUUUUAAAAUGACAUCAUAAUAAUAAAUAGCGGAUGACAAACCCCAAUAUCUGUCAAAGUAUGCCCCCUUGUGGCUGUGAACGGAAUUGCUGACCGCCAUUGAAAUUAGCAAUUUAUUUAUUUAUACCCCAAAAAAAUGUUAUUUUUUCUGUUCGUACGAUAAUAUCAAAACAUAAAUGUGCAUCAAUGUUUAAAAUUUUGAAAACAAAAUGUUUUGUGUGCAUAUUUGGUGAGAUUGUCAACAUUUUUUGGGACGUGCGCGAGCCUACGACGUCACAACCAAAACAAAGAUGGCGGCCCUCGAUGGUAACUUUGUGGCGUUUGUGUUUAUAAAACGCUUUUUUGAUAUUUACUACACCGCUUACUUUGAAGUAAACACACAUUUCAUGGAAAGGAGGAGUUUGUAGUGGUUUUAAAAAAUAUUAUAUCGCCACCUGCUGGCUUUGGAAUCCACAUUUCAGCGAUGUAUUGCCGAAAUAUGCUCUAGCUUAAAAUAGGUUGCUAAUACCCCGGAUGUGCGUGAUAAACAACUCCGUGUUAAAUUGAAAUGAAGGCGUCUCUCCAGAUGACUUAUUUUAAGCUCAACAAUUUAGUGUCAGACAUUUUGUGCUUUCUACAGACGCGCUGACCUCUCUUAAGUCCUCGUUGAACCCAAAAUGGGUGCAUGCGGUCUCCAUUCAGUGAGGGUUCUGAUUCCUCGGGAGGCCAUUGAACGCAACAAGAGGACCAUUAUAGCUUUUGACAAGUUGAUUCAUAUGUAUUUUUUUUUUAAAUAUAUAUUUUUUUGUUAAGUUGUUGUGAUGUCAGGAAUAAAAAUACGUGGAAGAUUGUUACAACAAGUUUGAAACUUUUUUUAGUGCAUAAAUAGGUCUUAUUUUAUGACGUGACGUCAUAAAUCUGCGCCAGGACGCUCUCUAGUGUUUAAAAAGAGAAUCGCCUGUCUUCAAUGUAACACAAUGGCCGACCGCGCCUCCUCCUCCAACUCCUUUAUAACCUUUUUAUUUGUUCUUUACGGAUGUCAAUGCCUCGUCUAGCGUCCACGUCCAGAGCCCACGUCCCUCCCACAAGACCGUCAGCGUGGGAUAAGUACAGGAAAAUGGCGUCCGUGUGGUGUCUUCGCUGCCUUGUGUGUCUUCGUGAAGUCUUAAAGUGGCAACCGCUGAUGACAUCAUAAAUGAGCGACAUAGCGAGUGAAAAAUGAACUUUGAGCAUCGGAGCCUUUUGGGUCGCAAAAGUCUUAUAAUAUUAUAAGCACGGGAACUGAUUAUGCGAUGCAUUCAAUUGUAAUCUGAUGCAUGUUCAAAUGAAAUAAA